AACGAACGCUGGCGGCAGGCCUAACACAUGCAAGUCGAGCGCGUAGCAAUACGAGCGGCGCACGGGAUAGUAACGCGUGGGAACCUACCUUUCGGUUCGGAAUAACAUCGGGAAACUGGUGCUAAUACCGGAUACGCCCUUCGGGGGAAAGAUUUAUUGCCGAUAGAUGGGCCCGCGUUGGAUUAGCUAGUUGGUGAGGUAACGGCUCACCAAGGCAACGAUCCAUAGCUGGUCUGAGAGGAUGAUCAGCAUCACUGGGACUGAGACACGGCCCAGACUCCUACGGGAGGCAGCAGUGGGGAAUAUUGGACAAUGGGGGCAACCCUGAUCCAGCCAUGCCGCGUGAAUGAUGAAGGCCUUCGGGUUGUAAAGUUCUUUUGGUGGGGACGAUGAUGACGGUACCCACAGAAUAAGCUCCGGCUAACUUCGUGCCAGCCGCCGCGGUAA
rnacentral:rRNA from 1 species